rnacentral:rRNA from 1 species
UACGAAGGGGGCUAGCGUUGCUCGGAAUCACUGGGCGUAAAGGGUGCGUAGGCGGGUCUUUAAGUCAGGGGUGAAAUCCUGGAGCUCAACUCCAGAACUGCCUUUGAUACUGGGGAUCUCGAGUCCGGGAAGAGGUGAGUGGAACUCCGAGUGUAGAGGUAGAAAUUCGUAGAUAUUCGGAAGAACACCAGUGGCGAAGGCGGCUCACUGGUCCGGUACUGACGCUGAGGUGCGAAAGCGUGGGAGCGAUCCGG